rnacentral:rRNA from 1 species
AAUCAACGCUGGCGGCGUGCCUCAGACAUGCAAGUCGAACGAGAAAGUUUCCUUCGGGAGAUGAGUAAAGUGGCGCACGGGUGAGUAACACGUAGGUAAUCUACCUUCGGGUGGGGAAUAACCCAGGGAAACUUGGGCUAACACCGCAUAAUGCAGCGGCACCACAUGGUGACAGUUGUUAAAGCGGGGGAUUUUAGGACCUCGCGCCUGAAGAGGAGCCUGCGGCGGAUUAGCUAGNGGUAAGGUAACGGCUUACCAAGGCGACGAUCCGUAACCGGCCUGAGAGGGCGGUCGGUCACACUGACACUGACAUACGGGUCAGACUCCUACGGGAGGCAGCAGUCGGGAAUUUUGGGCAAUGGGCGAAAGCCUGACCCAGCAACGCCGCGUGAAGGAUGAAAUCCCUCGGGAUGUAAACUUCGCAAGAUUGGGAAGAAUUAGUAGGGGUUAAUACCCUCUAUGAUGGCGGUACCUUUUGUAAGCUCCGGCUAACUCCGUGCCAGCCGCCGCCGUAAC